AGCAACGGAACGUUAUUUUGACCCUGGUAUUCGCAAAGUACUGGUGUACAAGUUAGUGUUAGGGCGUGUUGUUACUCUGAGCUGGUACCCCGUUACCCUUUUGGGGUCGCUAGGGCUGACACACCCCUAGCUUACACCGAAUUUGUACACCGUCAAAACGCGAAUACAUAGGGUCGAAAAACAUUAAAAUCUGCCGUAUAUACCCUCUUGAGGGAGUAUACGCAGAUAUUUUAGUCCUGAAAUAUUAAAUGUUAAUUACAUACUGAAUGAAAAUUAUUUUCAGGUGUAUUGUUAGUGAAUGAGGUAAUGGUGGUAAUAUGAUGCCUCGCAUGAAAUUGGCCUAGUGGUGAUGUAUGAAUCUUGGAGACUAACGUUGUGAUGGGAGCAGUGGUGGAGCGAUGAUUUACGUGAGACCUCUGGCAGCCGAGCAGAAGCUGGUGGCAGAUGGUUUGGUUAGGAAGAUGUGCUACUGAUAGCUGGAUCAUAUGUGGUAAUACCGGAUAGAUUUGUGGGACCCCUUGGCUGUGGAAGAGCACAGCGAGACGCGUCAACUUAAGUGUUAGUGAAGAAGAGUUUGCAGUGGCGUAUAUAGCCUGUUGGAUGCAUAAGUGGACGAGCCUUGACUGUGUUGAAGAGAGAAUUGGAUAAGCACGUGGCAAGGAUACCUGAUGAAGCAGGCUGUGACUGAUAGGUCAGGCUGCGAGGAGCCGCGUCCAAGAGCGUGGUUGACGAGUCCGGCAACCAGAAGGCUUGGUGGACGAGCGGGCCGGGGGAACGCUAAGGGCCGGAAGGACCUCAAGGUAAGAUUUGCGAGAAGAUGGUAAUAAUGGUGGUUGAUUGGUAGAGGGACCGCAGGCCAGCGGAGUGUGACGUCGAACUGAAGGAGAGUGUGAUGUGCAAGAAAUAAUAUUGUUGAAGACAAGGAUGAUGCGACGCAUAUGAAGAGAAAGGCGUAUAUAAUUGUGACCAAAAAUAAUCGAGUAAUGAAGAUGGAUUGGAAUCGAAACUGUUGUUUAAAUAUCAUUUGUUACGUGUAAGGGGAAAGUGUUAAGGAGAGAUGAUAAUGUAGUGAUAUUUUGGUAUAAUAUUUAGUAGACUGUUUAAUGAAGUUAAGUAUUAUAUGUUGAAAGAGUGUGCACAAUGUUUGUUUUGAAAGAAAUGUUGGGUGAAGUUGUUGAAAAUGUGUGAAGAGAAUGUUAUGGAAGGUGUAUAGUAAAUAUGUUGUGGGAGUUAAUAAUUAGUGUAUUAAAUGACGUAAAUGUAUACAUUAUAAAAUGAAUGAAUUGUUUGAUGGUUAUAAUUGAAUGUAAAGUAAAAUAAUAAUAAGUGAUUAAGAACAGUGUUUAAAUGACGUAAUUAUGAAAGUUGUAAAGAGACGAAUGUUUUAGGUACUGAGAAGAAAAAGUAGCAGUUUUUGCUGUGUAUGGAGAUUGCCUAUGUGGGGGGUUGUUUUUAGGCAUUAUGUGUGAGUGUGAAAGUCGAGAUGGAUGUUGUGGGUGUUAAUUGUUGUUUUUACGUUGGUUAUUGUUAUGGAGGUUGUUUGAUUAGUGUAGAGUUGUGUUGUUUGUAUUUUAUUAUGUUGAGUUUGUAUGUUUGAUGUCAUGUGAGUUUUGUUGACAUUACGUCCAGGAUGAAGUGUUUGAGCCGUUUGUGUGGUAUUUAAGCAGCAGGGGUUGAGUUGAUAGUGUGAAAAUGUAGAUUGAGGAUAUGUAGAAUAGAAAAUGAUCAUGUAAGAGGAAUGUAUGGUAAUGUAUAUAAAGUAAAAUAAAUGUGAAAUUAGGAAUUUUAUAGAAUGUUAAAAUAAUUUGUAAUGAAAGGCAGAAAUGAUAGUUGAUUAUAGGAAAUUGAUGUUGAAAAGUUAAUGUUUUAAAGGUGUGUGUGUAAAUUGCCAAUGAUGAGAUUGAACUGAUGUAAAUGUGUAUUAUAGUUUUGAAAUGUAAUUAUGACAGGUAGUGAAAGAGAUUAAUAUGGAGGAAUGAUUUUAGGAGAAAUAUAUGGACGUAGGUUAUAUGUUAAUAGUAGUGUAAAUAUAGUAACUUUGAUAAUGUGUUUAUAUAUGAUAGGUAUAGAUAUAUAUAAAAGCAUAAAUACAUAGGUGAAAGUAAAACUAUAUAUACCGAAAUAGCAUAAAAAGAAGGAAAUAUAGUAAAAAUAUGGAAGAUGUAUAUUGAUAGGAAAGGUAUGCUAUGGUAGGAUGUCAAUGUUUUGGAUACAUAGGGUGCGUGAAGGAAAUGAAACGUAGUUUGUUGUAAGCGUGCUCUGCAGCCAACGUUGUUAGUGUGAUAGUUAAGCCGGCGAUGUUAUUCAGGUAUUAUAUUGAUAAUGGUCAUAUAAAUAUGCGGCCUUGCAGGCGUCGGCUUUAUGGAUACGUGUUACAAAUACGGAUCCGUAGCGUUCCUGGUGUCCAUUUCACUUUGCCUCAGAUCCCGAGAUCUUAAAGCUGUGUUACUGGUGCUCGCAGAUGCUCAUUGACACUAAACUGAUUCACGGCUCUUAAGGCAGUUUGUUAGGGUUACUAUUGAGCUGUAACAUGUUUCGGAGGGCAACAUACACUGGAGAUCACUGUAACGGACUCAGUUACCAUCCUUAUAAUUUGUCAAUCCGGACGCAAGCAUGUUGGGCGUUAAGACGUGUUUAUUAUAUUUGAAAUAUUGUUUGAUUUGUAUAUUGAUUUGAUAAUAUAUACAUAGUGGUCAUAAAAAUCAUUGUUUGGUUGUUUUAUAUUAUUAAUUUAUUUGAAUAGUUGGAAAUGAAUUAUUGCUUGCUAGAUCCUUCCCCCUGGAAUAACUUGUGGGCUUGACUCAGAUACGGUAACUGUUCCUCCCCCCCCCCCCCCCCACCAACCUUUAUUGAAAUUUUUUUUUUUUUGUGUGUUUUUCCCGGUAAAGUUGUGGUCUGGUUGGUAGUUACCUUAGUUCGCUAGCGACUAGUUUCCUGGAAGAUGGUUUUCUCUUCCUUUCCCCUCUAGUCACUCCUUUGCCCUGUGGCAGUGUUCCGUGUCAGAGUUCUCCCCACAGGGUAUCAGCCUUGCUUUAUCCAUUAAUGACACUUGCCCAGUUAGCUUCCGGAAAUGUCCCCCCCCUCCUCUUAGAAACUAAUUUCAGCAGUACCCUUAAGGGGUAGGUUGGAGGAGAAUAUUAUGUUUAAGCGUUAAUGUGUUUAAAUUGAGUGUGGUUGAUGUACACUAAUAUAGUAGUAUGUAAGAGUAUAUUAACGUGAAUUGUUAAAUUGGAUUGUUGUAUUUGUACUGAGUGAAAUUGUGCGGCUUGAAGGGGUAGAAAUUUCCUAAGGUACUAGUGAGUAGUUGACUAUUAUUUAGUGAAAUUGUCUGAAAUAACAUACUUGAAGGUUAAUAAAUAACUUGACCCAACAGUAUGUAAGUUUGUAUAGUUAUCAAUAAGUAGUGUACCAGUUCAAAUUGUUUUGAUGUGUGAUAUCAUUAUGAUACACUGUACCUCGGAGCUAGAAGAAAUGUGGGGCAAGAGUUUAACAUUUAUAUGCUGUGCCUACUAUAUUAAACAGGAUUGUUGUAUUGUGUAUUUGUAGUCACUGAAUGUGUGCGGCGCCACCCCCCCCCCCCCCUUGAGGUUGUGCAAGUAGAGGGGGAGUAGAAAUACCCUAAACUACUGUAUUCCUUUGAGAUACGUUUAUUGAGAGAAUAAUAAAUACAAUUGAAUUGAAGGUUGUUUUGUGUAUAUUUUUGUUAACAACCUGUUGUGUUAUGUCUUAGUUACCGGUGAUAUGUACGUAUGUAUAUAGUGUAUUAUAUAUAAACGUGCUUUGAUGGAAAUUGAAUGGUUUUCAUUUUCCACAAAACUAUCAUUGAAGACGUUUCUGAGGUUGUUUUCCGAAAAAGAUACCUCCAUUUGUAAACUCUAAUAAUAAACAUUAAAUAUGAUA
rnacentral:lncRNA from 1 species